GCGUCGAGGCGCAGUUCCCGCAGCGCCGGCGGAGCGUAGCGUAGCGCGUAGCGCUCGGCGGUAGCGGCCGCGAGUGGACGGGCCCGGCGGCUGGACCGGUGGCGCCGCUGCUCCGCUCGUCCCCCGCCGCCCUCCAUGAGCGCAGCGCCGUGCGGCCCGUGUCCGUAGGCGGCGGGGCGCCCCCCAUGCUGCUGCAGCCCGCGUCGUGCGCCCCGAGCUCGGGCUUUCCUCGGCCGCCGGCCGCCCCCGGCGCCAUGCACGGCUCGCAGAAGGACACCACGUUCACCAAGAUCUUCGUGGGCGGCCUGCCCUACCACACCACGGACGCCUCUCUCAGGAAGUACUUCGAGGGCUUUGGGGACAUCGAGGAGGCCGUGGUCAUCACCGACCGCCAGACGGGCAAGUCCCGCGGCUACGGCUUCGUGACCAUGGCUGACCGGGCAGCGGCUGAGAGGGCUUGCAAAGAUCCUAACCCCAAUAUCGACGGCCGCAAGGCCAAUGUGAACCUGGCCUAUCUGGGCGCCAAGCCCAGGAGCCUGCAGACGGGCUUUGCCUUUGGCGUGCAGCAGCUGCACCCCACCUUGAUCCAGCGGACCUACGGAGAUUUAUUUGGCACGGGACUGCAUGCCAGCUCCGGCACGAGAUGAGGAGAAACCAGAGGGAAAAUGAGCUAAAGGACGUUCUGCUUGAGUGUGGCCAGGAUCUUUGUGACUACAUUGGACCCAGCUGGGUAAUCCAGGAUUAUCUCUCUCUCUCAAGGUCAGCUGUGGAGAUAAACAAGCCCUGGGGAUGUCCUGUACAUGGUGACCUGAGUUACUAAUGCCAUAUUGCAUACUUUAAAGUUGCUAAGAGAGUUGAUCUUAAAGUCCUCACCACAGAAAAAGAUGACAAAAUUUUUGUAAUUAUAUAUAGUGAGAGAUGCCAACUGGAUUUACUGAGGUGAUCAUUUGGCAACAUAUGCAAAUAUGGAAUCAUUAUGUUGUAACACGUGCAACUAACACAAUGUUACAUGGCAAUGAUACCUCCAUAAACAAAGAUUUCCUCAAUGUAAACUGAAGCAUAGAAUAAAAUAAGGGAGUAGAAAUUUAAAAUUAAAAAAAGAGAAACGACAUUUGUUCCCUUAAACGUGGGUAAUUCUAAUUUGCCUAGACUGUUCACUCACUUCAUAAUUUCUUUAUACUGUUUCCUGCCUAAGUGACUCCACAGCUGUAAGGCUGUGCAUACAAAAUUGUCACAUAUACUAACUGUACCAAAUGUUUAAAAUGAAGAAGAAAACAAAUCUAGCAUGAAAAACAAAGGUCAGCUGUUUAGUAACUGUAACUGUAUUUGCAGCCUUAAUUUCCCUGUUGUCAUAGAGCCUCGCAUAUCACAGGUUCUGGGGACUAGGGUGUGCAUAUCUUUGGGAGACCAUUAUUCUGCUUUCCACACUUACCUUAUUGAUCUUUUCCAUCAUGUGCCCUUAUCAAAUUUGUCAUUGUAUAUUCACACCAUGACUGGUGGUUGGAGGGACUGAACACAAAUUCCCCGAACAAACAGCAGGCCUAGGAUUUGAACCUGCACCUUUGCAUUGUUAUUUAUCAAUAAAAAAGUUUAGAUGUCACUAGUCAUCAGAGAAAUGCAAAUUAAAACCACAGUGAGAUAUCACCU